CUUUUCUGUGGGCGUGGCCAAGGCAGCGGGGGUUUAUGACAAAGUUGAGCGACCUCAUGUCACUCAAACCAGCUGUAUUAAGGAAGGUGCAAGCUUUUGGGAUUUCUGUUUGGAUUUAGUUUAGGUUCAAAAGAGCACGCACAGAUCCUGAGUGUUGUCAAGCACCCGUGACUGGGAAACGGAGGCGUCCGAUCCGUAUUGGAGUCAAUUCGCCACUUAAUUGAACACAGCCUCGAAGGGAAGGGCCAUAUUUGUGGGCCUGUCUAACAAUUAAGAGUGACCACAUGGAAUGGGGGAUGAAAGGGUUAAAGAAGAACAAAUAUUGAACACAGCUUUUCUAUGAACAAACUGCAGGCAGCUGCUGCUUUGCAAGGGGAACUUCUUGGCUGCCAUUUCUGGAUGUCAAGGCUGCAGAUACACUGGUCAGGACCCUGGGUAGAGAGAGAUGCGUCAGAAUGCGGCUCCUUUCAGAAAGGCUUCUCCGGAGGUCAGCACUCGGGCAAAAGGCUGUGUGUGAUGUGUUUGGGAACACAAAGAGAUUUACAGCUGAUGAAAAAUGGAGAAGUACAUGACCCUACCCUGCUGUUGGACAUGCUACCCAAGGAUCAUGACUGACAACUUGUCAACAUCACUAUUGCUUAUUUAAUAAAUGUGCAGUACUACUUCAAUAAACCUGGAAUCAUAAAAUUUUAGAGAACAAACC
rnacentral:lncRNA from 1 species